rnacentral:lncRNA from 10 species
UGUAUUUUUAGUAGAGACAGGGUUUCUUUCUUUUUUUUUUUUCCGAGACGGAGUUUCACUCUGUUGCCCAGGCUGGAGUACAAUGGCGCAAUCUUGGCUCACUGCAACCUCUGCCUCCCAGGUUCAAGCAAUUCUUUUGCCUCAGCCUCCCAAGUAGCUGGGAUUACAGGCGUGCGCCACCACACCCAACUAAUUUUUGUG